UAUUUUGAACUGUAAAUUUUUAAUACCUAAAUAUUAUGAGAAUUUACUUAAAAUUUAAAGAACUUGGCGGUAUCUUAGACUUCUUAGGGGAACCUGUGUUUUAAUCGAUGAUCCUCGUUUUACCUUACCUUUCUUUGUUUUCAGUUUGUAUACCGUCGUCGUUGGUUAACAUCAGAGAUUAUAAAAGUUGGCUUAUAAAAUAAAUUGUUUGAAAUGUCAGAUCAAGGUGCAACUUAUAGAUUGGUUAAUAUGGGUUACAAUUAUGAAUUUAUAAUAUGGAUAAUUUUUUGAAAUUAUUAUUUGAAGGAGGACUUAAAAGUAAUUUAAUUU
rnacentral:rRNA from 1 species